AGGGUAAUAGUUAAUUAUAACAUUUGACUUGCAUUUAAAAAGUAUUGAUUCAUCAAUUUACCUU
rnacentral:tRNA from 1 species